AUGUGUUUUUUAGGUGCAUCGGGUCUGCUUUCACCGUUGCUCGGAUUUCUCGCGUGUGCUUUCGUGAUCGUACCAUAUGAGUCCAUGCACAAAGCAACGAAGCAAGGACAACUCAAGCUACAGAGACAGGUGCAGCUCCGCGGGAAGGCGCAAGGCAAAGUAGGUGGCAGGUGUCUAUACUUUCGUCGUCCAUAUAUAGCCGGUGCCUCGCCAUUAGCCAGCUCCAAGCAUUCACAAGAGGAAACGAGCUACCUAGCAUUCGGUACGGGAAUUCGUUCGGUACGCAGCUACAUACAUACCUCCAAGCAGAGCUAG
rnacentral:rRNA from 1 species